rnacentral:rRNA from 1 species
CCUACUGGUGGCUGCAGUGGGGAAUAUUGGACAAUGGGGGGAACCCUGAUCCAGCGACGCCGCGUGAGUGAAGAAGUAUUUCGGUAUGUAAAGCUCUAUCAGCAGGGAAGAAAGAAAUGACGGUACCUGACUAAGAAGCCCCGGCUAACUACGUGCCAGCAGCCGCGGUAAUACGUAGGGGGCAAGCGUGAUCCGGAUUUACUGGGUGUAAAGGGAGCGUAGACGGCGAUGCAAGUCUGAAGUGAAAGGCGGGGGCCCAACCCCUGGACUGCUUUGGAAACUGUCCAGCUGGAGUGCAGGAGAGGUAAGCGGAAUUCCUAGUGUAGCGGUGAAAUGCGUAGAUAUUAGGAGGAACACCAGUGGCGAAGGCGGCUUACUGGACUGUAACUGACACUGAGGCACGAAAGCGUGGGGAGCAAACAGGAUUAGAUACCCCAGUAGUC